UAUUUUUAGUAAAGACAGGGUUUCACCAUGUUGGCCAGGCUGUUUUGAACUCCUGACCUCAAGUGAUCCACCCACCUUGUACAAAUACAUAUUUAUUAUAGGAAGAAUUAGAAAACCUGUAAGCACAAAGGGAGUUGGGGGCCGGGCGUUGGAAUAGUAUAAUCCCACCAUCUAUAGAUAAUCACCGCUGAAGUUCAGGCAUACUACAGCCUCUGUGGUAAACUGACCUAGGCUAGUUUAGUGGUUCACAGCUAAUAGGUCAUUUAUGGUUGAUAGCAGGAGGCUCCAGUGAUUACAGAUCUCUACCCCACAACCUCUCUAAGGGUGAAAAAAAAAAGCAAGAGCAGUUCUCAAACCAAUCCUGCUACAGGGACAAACAAGCAUGAGCAAGCAGGCACACAGCCUGUGCUGUAAACUGCGCUGGGGAGGCCCAAGCUCCUGCCUUUCAGCCACGUGGACAAGCACCUUGUGUGAAAGGCUGUCCUGUGUCACGUGCAGCAGCCGUGUUGCAGCCGUAGCAUCGAGCUAACCUCAUAAAGUAGCGCAGGCCACAGACUUCUCUGUCGCGUAGGGCUAGAGAGAUAUAGGCUGCUGAAGUUGCUGAAUUCUCACAACCUGGUCAUAAGAAGGCAGAGUGGCCUGUACAGCAUUUCCAGCUGACCCAUAUACAGUAAGUCCUCCAACGAUGUCAUUUCACUCAGUGUCAUUUCACUGUCACCUUGAUGAGAAACUCUGUUGCUUGUUGGGGCCACUGUGUGGAGGAGCUUCUACAUCCUCUGGCGUCUGCAGGGGUUUCCUGCAGGUUCCCCAGUCUCCUCCCGCAUCCCAGAGAUGUGCAUGUUUGGUUAACUGGUGUGUGGUCCCAGCCUGAAUGAGUGUGUGUGGGAUGGAGGGUGGGGUGUAGGUCUGAGUGCACCCUGCUAGGGGAUGCAUCCUGUCCAGCAUGGGCCCCAACCUUAUACCCUGAGCUGCCGGGACAGGCUCUAGCCACCCUUGACCCUGAAUAGGAAUAACUGGGCAAAUAAUUAUCUUUCUGUGUUUAUUAGCCUUACUUAAAUGUAUGUAUAGCUCACAUUUAUUUCAGUGUUUAAUAUUAUAAAUGUUUUGGUUUUUAUUUAGAAGUUUUGUGAUCUUUUUGUGAUCAGAAAUAGGCCGUAAGAACUUAAGUCUCGUUGAUAUCAAUUAGCUGUGGUAAAAUCAGUUUCACUGAAAGAUGCAGUUUCCAAGAACCUGACAGUGACAUUGAGCCCUGACUGUACCGUCACACAUUGCUUAACAACAGGGAUAUGUUCUGACAAAUGCAUCGUUAGUCAGUUUUGUCAUUGUGUAAACAUCAUAGUGUUCUUACAUAAACCUAGAUGGCACAGCCUGCUACACACCUACACCAUAGGCUAUAGCUUCUGUUACUAGACUACAAACCGAUACAACGUGUUACCAUACUGAAUACUGCAGGCAGUUGUAACAUGGUGGUAUUUGUAUAUUUACAUAUAUCUAAACAUAGAAAAGUUACAGUAAAAACACAACAUGUUAUAAAAGAUUGAAAAUGGCACACCUGUAUAGGGCAUGUACCAUGAAGGGAGUUUAUAGGCCUGGAAGUUGCCCCUGGUGAGGCAGUGAGUGGGAAGUGAAUGUGGCUACUCACACGAGUGUAAACUGUAAACACUGCCUACUGAGGCUACACUAUAUUCAUUUCACAUUUUUUCUUUAAUAAUAAGUUAACCUUAACAUACUGUAACUUUAAAAAUAAAUUUUAAGAGACUUUUGACAGUUUCAUGGUAACACUGAACUUAAAACACAAAUAUAUUGUACUAUACAAAAAUGGUUUCUUUAUAUCCUAUUCUAUAAGCUUUUUUCUAUUUUUAUUUAUAUUUUUUACUGUUUCGAUUUUUUGUUAAAAACUAAGACACAAACACAUACAUUAGCCUUGGCCUGCACAGGGUGAGAAUCAUUAAUUUCACUGUCUUCCGCCUUCACCUCUUGUCUCACUGAGAGGUCUUCAGGGGCACUAACACAUUUGAAGCUGUCAUGUCCUGUGAUAACAAUGCCUUCUUCUGGAAUACCUCCUGGAGGAGCUGCCUGAAGCUGUUUUACAGUUAACUUUUUUUUUUUU